AAAUUGAAGAGUUUGAUCAUGGCUCAGAUUGAACGCUGGCGGCAGGCCUAACACAUGCAAGUCGAACGGUAACAGGAAGCAGCUUGCUGCUUUGCUGACGAGUGGCGGACGGGUGAGUAAUGUCUGGGAAACUGCCUGAUGGAGGGGGAUAACUACUGGAAACGGUGGCUAAUACCGCAUAACGUCGCAAGACCAAAGAGGGGGACCUUCGGGCCUCUUGCCAUCAGAUGUGCCCAGAUGGGAUUAGCUUGUUGGUGAGGUAACGGCUCACCAAGGCGACGAUCCCUAGCUGGUCUGAGAGGAUGACCAGCCACACUGGAACUGAGACACGGUCCAGACUCCUACGGGAGGCAGCAGUGGGGAAUAUUGCACAAUGGGC
rnacentral:rRNA from 1 species